ensembl:snoRNA SNORD83B small nucleolar RNA U83B
GGUGUCAGUGAUGAGACCACGGAACAAUGCGUCAGGCGUGGCGCCCGAAUCAGCAUGAGGAAACUGUCCAUGCUGCCUUCCUUCUGAGAACACG